UUCCUCUCUCUGGUUCCUGCUAAUCAACCUUGUUGUCAAUAAGAAAGACAAAAAAGUUUGGAUAGUGGAUACGGCAGUGCCUGGAGACAGAAGAAUAAAAGAGAAAGAAUUGGAGAAGGUUGGCAGAAGCUGGGACAAGUAAUGGGAGGUCACCCGGUUACGCGGCACUAGGGAUUCGAACCGCUGAACUGCCAACGUUUAA